rnacentral:rRNA from 1 species
CGAAAACGAAUUCUCUCUUGAGUGGAUCCUGAGUACGACGGAGCACGUGAAAUUCCGUCGGAAUCUGGGAGGACCAUCUCCUAAGGCUAAAUACUCUCUAGUGACCGAUAGUGAACCAGUACCGUGAGGGAAAGGUGAAAAGUACCCCGGAAGGGGAGUGAAAGAGAACUUGAAACCGUGUGCUUACAAGUAGUCAGAGCCCGUUAAUGGGUGAUGGCGUGCCUUUUGUAGAAUGAACCGGCGAGUUACGAUCUGAUGCAAGGUUAAGCAGAAAAUGUGGAGCCGUAGCGAAAGCGAGUCUGAAUAGGGCGAAUGAGUAUUUGGUCGUAGACCCGAAACCAGGUGAUCUACCCUUGGUCAGGUUGAAGUUCAGGUAACACUGAAUGGAGGACCGAACCGACUUACGUUGAAAAGUGAGCGGAUGAACUGAGGGUAGCGGAGAAAUUCCAAUCGAACUUGGAGAUAGCUGGUUCUCUCCGAAAUAGCUUUAGGGCUAGCCUCAAGUGAUGAUUAUUGGAGGUAGAGCACUGUUUGGACGAGGGGCCCCUCUCGGGUUACCGAAUUCAGACAAACUCCGAAUGCCAAAUAAUUUAACUUGGGAGUCAGAAUGUGGGUGAUAAGGUCCAUAUUCGA